rnacentral:rRNA from 1 species
UACGUAGGUGGCAAGCGUUAUCCGGAUUUAUUGGGCGUAAAGGGAACGCAGGCGGUCUUUUAAGUCUGAUGUGGAAGCCUUCGGCUUAACCGGAGUAGUGCAUUGGAAACUGGGAGACUUGAGUGCAGGAGAGGAGAGUGGAAUUCCAUGUGUAGCGGUGAAAUGCGUAGAUAUAUGGAGGAACACCGGUGGCGAAAGCGGCUCUCUGGCCUGUAACUGACACUGAGGCUCGAAAGCGUGGGGAGCAAACAGG